AGAAAUCAGGAUGUCUGCUCUCCAGUUCAAGAGUUCAGUGGACCCAUUACUUUAAAGGGAGCUUGCUUAAAUUUCCUGAGAGGAUCUUUCUAAAAUAGCUCUUUCUCUCUCCCAGCUGACUUGCAGACCUAACUCUGUCAGAUUCAGGUCUGCAUGACAAGCUAGCUAUGCAGGGGUGAGAUGAAGGGUGGUAGGAGGUGGUGGUUUGAGCAACCUCAGCAGGCUAUUUCCCUCCCCGACCCCCUUUUUCAAUAGGGUGUAGCUCUGGCUGAUCGGCUGACCUUGAACUCACAGAGGUCCAGCUGGCUCUGCCUCUUGAAUGCUGGGAUUAAAGGUGUGCUCCAUCAUGCUCAGCUUAAAUAUUUUGUUGUUGUUUGUUUGUUUGUCCAUUUGAAGGUAUCAAAAGUCAAUCUCAGCUAUCAACUGAAGCUGAGUAUGGUAGCCUAUGCCUAUAAAUCCCACGGUCAGAAGGCUGAGGCAGGAGGAUUGUCAAAAGCUCGAGACCAGACUGGACUGCUGUGCAAAGCCAAAAACAAAAAAAAACAAAAAUGAAAAGAUGCUGAUUUGGUGGAGCUCUGUCCGACAGCAGCUUUCCCUUCAAAUAUCUGUUAGACCUUUGGAAAUGUGGCAAAAUCUGGACCUGCAGCCAUGCCUUCUGUGAAUGGCUUUCUCUCUGGCUCAAAGGCCACUUAGCUGUCCUUGUGGCCUUUCCCUGCUGAGUUCCUGAGGGUCUGAGAGAGCAUGCUGUGACAGCAUCCCCUGAAUUGUAGAAGCAGCAUAAAGAACUCUUCUCAUAUGACCUAACCCCACUGGAGCAGCACAUGGACCAUGGACUUCUGUGUGGAAUCGGGUGACAGCACGAAUCGUGAACAUCCACAUGGCCUCUAGUGUCAACACAGACCAAGGACCUCAGCAUGCUCUUCGGUGAUAGCACAGAACAAGGACAUCAACAUCUCCUUGGCCACAGCCCGGACCACAAACACCAUCAUGAUGUGGGCACAGGCCAUGGACACCAACAUGGCCCCUGGCGGUUGAACAGACCAAGGGCAUCCACUUGACUUUUGAUGAUAACAUGGACUACAGACAUCAAGAUGGCCUCCUACAGGAACACAGACCACGGGCAUCCACAUAGUUCUCUGAACUUGAUCAUGGCCUUUGGUGGCAGCACAGGUCAUGGGCAUCAAUGUGGGCUCUCAUGGAAGGUAGCAUGUAGGGGUGGUCUAAGGUGCUAGAUUUAGACUUAUCUUUUCAAAGCAUAGGCAACUUCUCUCUCCAAAGUGCCCUAAAUAUUUAAUCUUUUG
rnacentral:lncRNA from 1 species